rnacentral:rRNA from 1 species
UACGUAGGUGGCAAGCGUUGUCCGGAAUCACUGGGCGUAAAGCGCGCGCAGGCGGCGAUCUACGUCUGGGGUGAAAGCCCGGAGCUCAACUCCGGGACUGCCUUGGAUACGGGAUCGCUUGAGGAUUGGAGAGGCAAGGGGAAUUCCACGUGUAGCGGUGAAAUGCGUAGAUAUGUGGAGGAACACCUGUGGCGAAGGCGCCUUGCUGGCCAAUUUCUGACGCUGAGGCGUGAAAGCGUGGGGAGCAAACAGG